CGCCCCACAGAUCUGAUCUGUGCCCCACGGAUCAGAUCUGCGCCCCACGGAUCGGAUCUGCACCCCACGGAUCAGAUCUGCGCCCCACGGCUGCCCAGGGGACGUUCUGCGUAUCAGGAAAUGCUUACAGUCCGAGGCUGGAAACAAAGAGUGCAAGACAGCUUCUGCCUAAAGCAUUUUCCUUCAAUGAGGCGCUGCUGUAAGCGAGCAUUACCUCUGCUUCUUGAGCACACACAAGGCUACUGCCCUGGAAAUAAUCUGCAUUAGCCUUACAGGAGUGACCGUGUUGCCAUAGUUACUGUUGGGUUCUCUAUACCUCAAGCUCGAAGUGUUUAUUGUGAUUAAAUCCCAUCCCAUCCCAUUCUUCAUUUAAAAAUUCUGUGUUGAAAGUGUCACAAAGUGAAUUAUAAUGUAAUCCUUCCUUUUAAAAAGCUGUUUUAAGUAGAAAUUCCAUAAAAGAUCUUAGACGUCGAUAUUUAUUAAAGACCAUUAAUUCAUGAUUGGAUUAUUUUUCUUCAGACACCACCGCUUCUUUAUUCUUAGUGAUCUCUGAAUAGCCCCAAAUCCUGACACUAAUACACCAUUUUGUGAUUGUUUGGGUUUUGUUCUCUCACCCCUGAAUUGUGGACCGGUAGAGGCUCUUUACCGUCCUUGGUGCUGAACUCCGACCGCGGCGGCGGCCGAACGCGUUCGAACCGAUCUGGCGAGAAACCAAAUCCUGUCCUGUGACACAGCGUGGUAUCAGAGAACUUCAGUGCUUGCUCUCUCAAUACCUGGGAACAUUAGGAGAAGUAGCUGCUGCUGGGAUUCACCUAUUAGAAAGUGGCCUGUGCUGCUCUUUUUCUGUUUGUGUUUUGUUGGAUUGUUCGUUUGUUUUGUUUGUGGUUUUGUUGUGGUUUGUUUGUUUUUUUCAGAGAGGGAGCUCCGCGCUAUAGGGUCCCAGCCACGCUGCAAAGGGACACAACGUGGUUACCCCCGCGCUCCACACGCAGGUGGUUUAUUACGGCCAGUAAAAUGCCCAAGACGCUCCCAUUUUCUCCUUUCUUCAGUUACAAUGUCCAACUAUUUUCAUGUUUCCAACUCGAACACCCGGAAUCAGCCCCCGGCCCCGCUCAACCCGCUCCUCUCUUCAGCCACUAGGAGCUCAACAGAUCUCUGAUCUCUCCUCCAUUCCCCCAUGUCAGCUAUUAUAUUGCCCACCACCAAAAAUUCCUCACCCGACCUCAGCAAAAUUUCGGAGAUGAGUAUCUUGCCGCCACCUCCUUGCACGCGGCGUUUUGACUCAUUCAGCGCAGCUCGUCCUGCAGACCGUCGCCAGCUGCUCCUGCCCGAACCUGCCCCACGCUCCCGGUGCCCCCUCCCGCGCCGUGCCCAGGGGUGCCCCCGUGGUUCGCUGUCCCGGGGGUCCGAGCCCCGGCGCAGUGACGCGCUCAGCGCCCCCCACGUCCCCAGCAGCGCUUGCUUUGUCUCCUCCUCGCUGGGUUUUAUGGCUGCUGGAAAUGCAGAAUGCCCUUCUGUGUUGCCUGCUAGGGCUAGGUAAAUUAUUUGUUUAAUAGGCUUAGUUUAUUUUUUGUAGGCUGGCAGAAUAGCUGUGAAUCAUCAAAUCUCCCUGAAUUCGCUCACACAAGACACCAACAAAGGCCCCAUUGUGCAGCGCAGCGGGGGCAGCGCGGCCGGGCUGGCCGAGGAGCCCUCGGCGGCUCUGCCUUCCCCAGCGCCGGCGCGCGGGGCACGGCCAGCGCCGCGACUCGGACGUGCCGCUUCCAAAACUCAUCGCUGGCAAAAGCCCGUGGGUUUUCUCAUGGCACCGGGUCUCACCUGCUCUUUCUAACUCAACCAGAAAACCCCUGGUGAAGAGCCUUAAAUAGUAUUGCUGCUUCUGCUAGAAUAAAUGUCUAUUUCGCUUUUUCCUAAUUGUUAACAAAAGGUGACAAAUCUGUUCAAGUGCUGCCCCUCUCUCAAAC